GAUGAAGAACGCAGCGAAAUGCGAUAAGUAAUGUGAAUUGCAGAAUUCAGUGAAUCAUCGAAUCUUUGAACGCACAUUGCGCCCGCCAGUAUUCUGGCGGGCAUGCCUGUUCGAGCGUCAUUUCAACCAUCAAGCCCCAGGCUUGUGUUGGAGCCCUGCGGCUGCCGCAGCCUCCCAAAACCAGUGGCGGGCUCGCUAUCACACCGAGUGCAGUAGUUUACUCUUCGCUCAGGGCGUGUGGCGGGUGCUAGCCGUAAAACCCCCAACUUCUCAAGGUUGACCUCGGAUCAGGUAGGAAUACCCGCUGACCUUAAGCAUAUCAAUAAGCGGAGGA
rnacentral:misc_RNA from 1 species